rnacentral:rRNA from 1 species
UACGAAGGGGGCUAGCGUUAAUCGGAAUUACUGGGCGUAAAGCGUGCGCAGGCGGUUCGUUGUGUCGGUGGUGAAAGCCCCGGGCUUAACCUGGGAAUGGCCGUCGAAACUGGCGAACUGGAGUGUGGCAGAGGGGGGUGGAAUUCCGCGUGUAGCAGUGAAAUGCGUAGAGAUGCGGAGGAACACCGAUGGCGAAGGCAGCCCCCUGGGCUGACACUGACGCUCAGGCACGAAAGCGUGGGGAGCAAACAGG